CGCGUUUAUCCCGAGCGAAAAAGAUAUCUCUGGGGGAAAAAACACAGKUKUGUUUAAAAUAAUUUAGUCUAUUGACCAUCUGUAAAAAAGUAAAAUUUGUAUACAGAUAGCUAAUCUAGAAGUGGCUAUAAUAAUACUGAAGCUGUGAUAGUCUUGAGGGAAACUGGGAUUAGAUACCCCAUUAUUCUUGACUGUAAAUAUAAUUAGAUUUACCAGAGUACUAUGAAUAGUUAAAAAUUUAAAACUCAAAGGGCUUGGCGGUGUUUUAGACCUAUCAGGGGAACCUGUCUCGUAAUCGACAAUCCGCGUUAUAUCUAACCUCAUUUUGUAUUCAGUUUGUAUACCGUCGUCGUCAGGUAACUUUUAAAAAUAUAGAAGUUAGCAAUAGAAAUUAUGUAAAUUAAGACGUCAGAUCAAGGUGCAGCCUAUAGUGAGGAGAGGAUGGGUUACAAUUAUUAAAUUUAUAAUUACGGAAAUUUAAAUGAAAUUAUAUUUAGAAGGAGGACUUGAAAGUAAACUAAAAUAUAUAAAUAGUUUGAAUAAGGCUCUG
rnacentral:rRNA from 1 species